UCGGUGGCAAUUAAAUUAAACGAAAAACGGGGUCGAAAUGGGAGAGUAGGGAGUUCUAGUGAGGUUUGUCGGAUCUCAUAUUGACUAUAUCAACCGGGCCGGGCCGGACCGGUGAUAUAGUUAAUCUGCUGGAUCGGUGGCAAUUAAAUGAAACGAAAAACGGGGUCGAAAUGGGAGAGUAGGGAGUUCUAGUGGGUGUGUUGGGACUUAUUGACUACAUCCAACGUAGGGCAACUGGUGAUCAGAUAAUCUAGAUGGAACUUGCUGGCUCUGUAGCAAUUAUAUGAAACGAAAAACGGGGUCGAAAUGGGAGAGUAGGGUGUCCUAGUAGGGUGUGUCGGAUCUCAUAUUGACUAUAUCAACCGGACCGGGCCGGAUCGGUGAUAUAGUUAAUUUAAUCUGCUGGAUCGGUGGCAAUUAAAUGAAACAAAAAACGGGGUCGAAAUGGGAGAGUAGGGUGUCCUAGUGCGUUCGUAUGCGUAUGCGAAGGGCAUGGCAGUAGGUGUGUCGGAUCUCAUAUUGACUAUAUCAACCGGACCGGGCCGGAUCGGUGAUAUAGUUAAUCUGCUGGAUCGGUGGCAAUUAAAUUAAACAAAAACGGGGUCGAAAUGGGAGAGUAGGGAAUUCUAGUGGGGUGUGUCGGAUCUCAUAUUGACUAUAUCAACCGGGCCGGGCCGGAUCGGUGAUAUAGUUAAUCUGCUGGAUCUGUGGCAAUUAAAUGAAACGAAAAACGGGGUCGAAAUGGGAGAGUAGGGAGUUCUAGUGGGGUGUGUUGGGACUUAUUGACUACAUCCAACGUAGGACAACUGGUGAUCAGAUAAUCUAAAUGGAACUUGCUGGGUCUGUGAAAAUUGGAUGAACAGAAAAACAGGGUCGAAAUGGGAGAGUAGGGUGUCCUAGUGCGUUCGUAUGCGUAUGCGAAGGGCAUGGCAGUAGGUGUGUCGGAUCUCAUAUUGACUAUAUCAACCGGACCGGGCCGGAUCGGUGAUAUAGUUAAUCUGCUGGAUCGGUGGCAAUUAAAUUAAACGAAAAACGGGGUCGAAAUGGGAGAGUAGGGAGUUCUAGUGGGGUGUGUUGGGACUUAUUGAUUAUAUCCAACGUAGGGCAACUGGUGAUCAGAUAAUCUAGAUGGAACUUGCUGGGUCUGUGGCAAUUGGAUGAAACGAAAAACGGGGUCGAAAUGGGAGAGCAGGGAGUUCUAAUGAGGGUGUGUUGGGAACUGGUUACCGUUGAUCUGGUGUGAUCUGGCUGGGUCUGUGGAAAUUGGAUGAACAGAAAAACAGGGUCGAAAUAGGGCAGUAGGGAGUUUUAAUGCAUUAGGGGUUGAGAAGGGAGAGUAGAGAGUUUUAAUGCGUUAAGGGUUGAGCUCCCUUCUCGAGGGUCUGUGGAAAUUGGAUGAACAGAAAAACGGGGUCGAAAAUGGGCAGUAGGGAGUUUUAAUGCAUUAGGGGUUGUGAAGGGAGAGUUGGGAGUUUGUCAAAGUUGUUGCGAUAUCAUCAAGCAACGAAUUUAUUAGCUGAAUGUGAUUUGAUUUGGCAUAGACCUGAGGAAAUCUGAUGGAUGCUAAAGAUGCGAUACUUUCGUGUGAAUUUGUGUUUGUCCGUUCUAACCAUCCAGUAAAGCAGUACCGUGUCAGGGCAGAACUUAUACUGAACCACUUUUGUCAUUGUUCUUAAAACGGAUCAUUUAAUGUACGAGUAUGUUAAAGCUUGGAAUCGUUAUGGUUUGUUUAAGAGUUGAUACCAUCUCAUUGUUAUGGAAAUAAAGAUGGAUGUUGAUUGUCGUUUUAAAGAUAUGAUCUUGGAGUGCACUUCGAACAUUUAUGAAAGAAAUUUAAUCAUUGGUAAAGCGGCUCCUAUAAGGUUAAAUCUGCUUUAGCAUGUCUAGGUCUCUUUCAAAUAUGUUUGCAAACUUAAUAAUUUGAAUACGGCAUAGUUUGUUGAAGAGUGUUGUAAUUCAGAUUAAAUCUAAUCGCAGGAGUUAGACGACUGAGCCUUUCAGGCUAUGAGAGAGAUGUAUUGGACUGAAACAAAAAGAAUUGUGAUUGAAACUGUAUUCUAGUUAUUAAAUUGAACAUUGGCAGAUUUGAACUGGAUUGUAAUUGGAAGGUAAUAACAAAAAUGAAAAAGCAAAGUGACUAUAAUCUUCAAAAUUUGGUAAGAUACCUCAUUCUGUAUGUUCCCCUAUUUCAAGUGUGCAUCUGUUCAAUGUUGUAAUGCUUAAUCCAAUAUAAUAAUGAGGACUCAAUAUAUCUUCUAUCGUACUUCUUCUUGGAGAAUUGUAUUGUUAAUUUAAAUACUACUGUUACUACUAACUGUUGAGUUCUACUUAUUACUAUCGUUGAGUUCAAAUGGGAAUUGUAUGACUAUUUUUAAAAGUAACUUAAGUUUAACUAUUUUAUACUGUUAUAAUUUUACAAAUCUAUCAAUCUUCUACGUGUUUUAAAAUUUAUGCAUUAGGCACUAUAAUGUAUGUAAUACUCAGUAAAUAAAUGUUUAAAAAUUAUAAA